AGGGGGGCCGAGGCCUCAGUUUUUCGUUCUCUUUUUUUGAUGUGUGUUCGGAUAGAGCUCCACCAUUUUUCCGAUGUGUUGUGGUCUGAGGAUUUUUGUUGUCUUUUUAGCUUCUUAGUUGUCAUCGGUGGUUGGGAGCGGGUUGUUCUUGUAGCCGUGUUGUGUGCUGCUGUGGAGCUUCGCAAUUUUGGAAAGUUGCGGUUGGAAGUUCUCUUCUGUUUUUUUGUUCCCUCCUUCCCUAUGUGUGGUCUGUGGCGGUUCGCUACUAGUAGGUGUGCAGUGUAGUGUACUGCGCCAUAAGAAGGAAGAAUCAACUUGUUUUUUGUGGUGACUAAAGCCGCGAAGGUUUUUCCUCUUUUGUUUUGUUCUUCCUCCGCUCUGGUUGGUGGAGCUCCUUGUUGUGAGGAAUUUAGCAAGGGAAGUUGCAAGGUGGCGCUGCUUUUUGGUGACAGCGUCCGAUCAAGGGCUCCUAUGUUCUGGUGUACUCAUACGGCGAGCUCAGUGUCAAAAAGGGUGCCUUGCGACACAUGAAAAUCAUAUCAUCAAAACGGCACGACUCAGUUGAGCAUAUCUACGACCUCUGCACUUGUUCACAUCAAUCCAUAGGAAAACCAUUCCGGUUCUUAGUUAAAAGACACACCACCGCCACGAGCACAGGACCUGGACUUGAAAAAAAAACAACCACCGGGAAGCUAACGACUUCAACAAGAUUCAAUUGUUUGGAUCUAGAGGGCCUCGUGGUGGAGUGAACUAGGAACUGCAGCCAAAGAGUAGGAUCGUGUGAGCUGGAGGAGGAGCGUUGGGACCGCACUCCUAUUCAACCCUUCGAAUCCUCAAUCGGAGCAGAGCGAGAAGGAAGCACCUGUGGAACAAGAACGGACUCUUUCUAAACGUCCAGUAUCAAUAAAAUAUUGCAAGGGCCGCCUUAAAUCUAAGAGGCCAGGGUAUUUCACUAACAUGCGAUUCUGAGAGCGCAAGAGACAUCGUGUGACAAGGAAGGACAUCACUACUUCAAAGAUUGCUACAUUCAGUCUAUCGAUCACAGAAUUGGAAGCUGGUGGCCGUUCCGACACUUCCUUGGUUCUAGCUAUUCUCUCCUGCUGCCGAGCUCCCUCAAUGCUGUUGCAGAUUAAGUGCCCAAGGGUCGUGAUAGCAGGUGACCACAUUUGAUAGCAACUGACCACAUCAGGUAGUAUGUAACAAGUACGAGUGAUUAGUACACGUUCUAGUCUGUUUAGAGAAUGGUGAUUGGGAGAAAAUAAGCAGAGGAGGUGCGAUCUGAAGGAAUUCAAGUAGACCAGCAUGAACCUAUUGAAGUAAGCACCAGUCAUCAAGACUAAGCGUAAACUCGAUGGAAGGUUCUUAAAAAUAGUUCGAAGCUGCAACUACAAUUGUGAAUUCAAAGGCUGCAUCUGAAUUAGAACCAAAAGUUGCAACUGAUUCUAUUGCGAUUGGGCAUACGUCAAGUCAUCUGCCUUCUGGCCGUUAAGUGGUAGAGGUGGUCAUCGACUCGUGUGAAUUUGAAGUACGUGAAGAGAGCGAAGGAAGCAGUCGGUGGCUCUUCCAACAACCAGAGAAGCAGCACGCAAGGAGAACGAAGGCCGUCCCCCGAUUUCCCUCUACUCCACUCUGGAAUACAAAGUUAAGCAACCUGGAGAAGUAGGCAACUUACAAAAUUCAUAUCAUUGAGGUUUUAGUGAAUAAAAUUAUAUUGCAUGAAUUUAAAUCAACUUGGAUGAGGCUAGGACUUGAAUAAAUGAUAAAUUGUGGAUGAA